rnacentral:rRNA from 1 species
UACGAAGGGUGCAAGUGUUACUCGGAAUUACUGGGCGUAAAGCGUGCGUAGGUGGUGAGUUAAGUCUGUCGUGAAAGCCCCGGGCUCAACCUGGGAAUGGCGAUGGAUACUGGCUCGCUAGAGUGCGGUAGAGGAGAGUGGAAUUCCCGGUGUAGCAGUGAAAUGCGUAGAGAUCGGGAGGAACAUCAGUUGCGAAGGCGGCUCUCUGGACCAGCACUGACACUGAGGCACGAAAGCGUGGGGAGCAAACAGG